rnacentral:rRNA from 1 species
AUUGAACGCUGGCGGCAGGCCUAACACAUGCAAGUCGAACGAGUGGCGGACGGGUGAGUAAUGUCUGGGAAAAUGCCUGAUGGAGGGGGAUAACUACUGGAAACGGUAGCUAAUACCGCAUACCAUAAGAUGCGGCCAGAUGGGAUUGCCUAGUUGGGUGGGUAACGGCUCACCAAGGCGACGAUCCCUAGCGGGUCUGAGAGGAUGACCAGCCACACUGGAACUGAGACACGGUCCGCACUCGUACGGGAGGAAGCAGUGGGGAAUCUUGCACAAUGGGCGCAAGCCUGAUGCAGCAAUGCCGCGUGAAUGAAGAAGGCCGUAGGGUUGUAAAGUACUUGCAGCGGGGAGGCGUUACCAGCAGAAGAAGCACCGGCUAACUCCGUGCCAGCAGCCGCGGUAAUAC